rnacentral:tRNA from 1 species
GGGGAUUUAGCUCAGUGGUAGAGCGCGUGCCUAGCAAGCGCAAGGCCCUGGGUUCGGUGCCCAGCUCUG